AGAGUUUGAUCAUGGCUCAGGAUGAACGCUAGCUACAGGCUUAACACAUGCAAGUCGAGGGGAAACGACAUCGAAAGCUUGCUUUUGAUGGGCGUCGACCGGCGCACGGGUGAGUAACGCGUAUCCAACCUGCCCACCACUUGGGGAUAACCUUGCGAAAGUAAGACUAAUACCCAAUGACGUCUCUAGAAGACAUCUGAAAGAGAUUAAAGAUUUAUCGGUGAUGGAUGGGGAUGCGUCUGAUUAGCUUGUUGGCGGGGCAACGGCCACAAGGCGACGAUCAGUAGGGUUCUGAGAGGAAGGUCCCCCANAUUGGAACUGAGACACGGUCCAAACUCCUACGGGAGCA
rnacentral:rRNA from 1 species